CUCUUUUUGACCGACCGCACACAUGGUGCCAUGCCCAAAACAGUUCCAGAGAAUCGGGCCUUGCAGUCGCUCUAGUUCGGUAGUUUGAAAACGAAGAAAAUACCGAACAGAGUCAAUGUUCAACCCUGGAGCUUGUUCCCCUCAUCCAGACGAAUGAUUUCACCGAGCAGUGCCUUUCUAAGUUGAAUAGAAUUGAACGCAGGCGAUGAUGGAAGUCCAGCGGUGUUCGGGAGUUUCUGUGUCCAAUUUCAGUUCCAUGAGAUUCAUGCCCAAACACCGUUGCCUACGUUCAUGCGAACAAGAUGGCUGCCACCUCGUGGUUGUUUAUAGGAAUUGCGACCACCCAGACGAACAAUUAGAACACUGCGGUGAGAAACGUUCCAAAUAGUUAAUAGGUGUUAACAAGCUCCAGGGUGGUCCCUGGUUUGUGCAGUUCUUCGGUAAACGAAACAUGUAGUCCAAGUUGCACUAACAGAGCCUGUGUGAAGUAGUUUAGCCAGGUCUAUUAAAGGGGCCAUAGUCACAGGGUAAAAGGCUGGCAAACAGGCCCCUCCAAAAGUCAGUGGUGAAAUUCAGUUCGUCACAACACCUAAC